rnacentral:rRNA from 1 species
AUGGAUCUGUUCAGGGCUAAUUUGUCAGUGAUGCUACCAUGUGCUGAAGUCAGAGAUGGUCUUGGGCUGGAGGACAGGCUUGCAGAUAAAGGACUCGUGGUGAAUCAUUCAAACACUGCUGGUAUGGAUGGAGAACACAUGAAGCAUGCAGAGGAGCCUGCAGUUGCUGGUGAACUUGCAGAUAAUGACUCCAUUUCGAGGACAAGCAACCGGUUGGACGGAUUGCUGGCUCCAGAAAAAAGGAAAGAGAUGGGUCGGCCAACAACCAGUAGGGAGAAAGCUCCAUAUGAAGGAUUGAGCAAACGGACCAGAUUUUGCACAAUAUGCCGUAGGCAAGGACACAAGCGAACAACUUGUCCGGAUCAUGGAGAUGUCCCAAAGCAGCCUCGAAAGCCUGCUAGAUGCAAAAUUGUGGUGUCGAAGGGCAUCGACGAAACAAUUGUAAUAAAGCAAUGGAACUAA